rnacentral:rRNA from 1 species
UACGGAGGAUCCAAGCGUUAUCCGGAUUUAUUGGGCUUAAAGGGUGCGUAGGCGGAUUAUUAAGUCAGUGGUGAAAUCCUGCAGCUUAACUGCAGAACUGCCAUUGAUACUGAUGAUCUUGAGUACAGUUGAGGUGGGCGGAAUGUGUCAUGUAGCGGUGAAAUGCUUAGAUAUGACACAGAACACCGAUUGCGAAGGCAGCUCGCUAAGCUGUAACUGACGCUGAGGCACGAAAGCGUGGGGAUCAAACAGG